rnacentral:rRNA from 1 species
UACAGAGGGUGCGAGCGUUGUUCGGAAUUAUUGGGCGUAAAGGGCGCGUAGGCGGUGCGGUAAGUCACCUGUGAAAUCUCCUGGCUCAACUGGGAGCUUGCAGGCGAAACUGCCGUGCUGGAGUGUGGGAGAGGUGCGUGGAAUUCCCGGUGUAGCGGUGAAAUGCGUAGAUAUCGGGGAGGAACACCUGUGGCGAAAAGCGGCGCACUGGACCACAACUGACGCUGAGGCGCGAAAGCGUGGGGGAGCGAACAGG